CCUGAACGCUGGCGGCGUGCUUAACACAUGCAAGUCACGGGGGGCUUCGGGGGCAACCCUGGGGCAACCGGCGAACGGGUGCGUAACACGUGAGCGACCUGCCUUCCCGCGGGGAUAGCCGGCCCAAACGGCCGGGUAAUACCGCAUACGCUGUGUGGGGGCAUCCCUUGCACAGGAAACUUCCGGGGGAGGACGAGGGGCUCGCGGCCUAUCAGCUAGUUGGGGGGU
rnacentral:rRNA from 1 species